GAUGAACGCUGGCGGCGUGCUUAACACAUGCAAGUCGAACGAUGAAAGCGGGAGCUUGCUCCUGCUGGAUUAGUGGCGAACGGGUGAGUAACACGUGAGUAACCUGCCCUUGACUCUGGGAUAAGCGUUGGAAACGACGUCUAAUACCGGAUACGACCUUCGGAGGCAUCUCCUGGGGGUGGAAAGAAUUUCGGUCAAGGAUGGACUCGCGGCCUAUCAGCUAGUUGGUGAGGUAAUGGCUCACUAAGGCGACGACGGGUAGCCGGCCUGAGAGGGUGACCGGCCACACUGGGACUGAGACACGGCCCAGGCUCCUACGGGAGGCAGCAGUGGGGAAUAUUGCACAAUGGGCGCAAGCCUGAUGCAGCAACGCCGCGUGAGGGACGACGGCCUUCGGGUUGUAAACCUCUUUUAGUAGGGAAGAAGCGAAAGUGACGGUACCUGCAGAAAAAGCACCGGCUAACUACGUGCCAGCCGCCGCCGUAAGAC
rnacentral:rRNA from 1 species